AGUUCCCGGUUUUGUUCCCCCUUCCAUCCCCCCUGGGCCCCCUUUGGAAUUUUAUGGUUCGGGGGGGUUUGUUCUCUUGCCGGGGUUUUUAGUUUUUUACACACACACUGUAAUAAAGUUUCAUGGAAUGCAUGACGCGUUUAACGCAAUACAAUACAACUUUCAGCAACGGAUCUCUUGGCUCUCGCAUCGAUGAAGAACGCAGCGAAAUGCGAUAAGUAAUGUGAAUUGCAGAAUUCAGUGAAUCAUCGAAUCUUUGAACGCACCUUGCGCCCUUUGGCUAUUCCAGAGGGCAUGCCUGUUUGAGUAUCAUGAACACCUCAACUCUCAUGGUUCGCCGUGAUGAGCUUGGACUUUGGGGGUCUUGCCGGCCUGUGGUCGGCUCCUCUCAAAUGAAUCAGCUUGCCAGUGUUUGGUGGCAUCGCAGGUGUGAUAACUAUCUACGCUUGUGGUUUUCCACCAGGUAACCUUCAGUGAUGGAGGUUCGCUGGAGCUCACAAAUGUCUCUCCUCGGUGAGGACAGCUUCUUGAAUGUUGAUCUCAAAU
rnacentral:rRNA from 1 species